UUUGCUAAAAUUCCAAUUGGAGAGUCUGACCUUUCCCUGUGAGGUCACAAACACUGGGAGCUUGUGCCUUGUGAGCUUGCUCCUUGAUCAUCUUCCCAGGUGAUUCUGAUGCCAAAGCCUGAGUGACACAAAGAUGUCUCAGAUCUACUAUGAUCUAAUUAUAUUCAGAUUUCUCUUUCGUAUCUGCGAUAGCUCAGUUCUCUGCCGCUUGCAAACAGCAGUUUUACUUAAUGACCACAUGUACUUUAAAAUCAUUCUCUGGCUUUCAAUGGAUAGCACAGUCAUCUUUCAAAACUUAAACCCAGAAAACUAAAGGCAAUGGAACUGAGCUCCAUUUCAGUGGAGCGUCUGAGGAAUAUCACCAUAGUCUGGAUUUCUGCCUAGAAGCAGACACUAAGAUGAAGACAUUUGUGAAGAUGGAAAGUCUGAGGCACAGAGGGAUUUAAUCAACUUGCCUGUCACAUGGUAACAAGCUACACUGCUUUGAAGUACCAUUUUCACUAUCUUGCUCUCUGCACCCUUUGGUUCUCUUCUCCACGGCUUACCUCAUUCUCCAAAGAUUUGGAGAAGCUCGACUCCUGUCAAUAAUGGUAUUUGUCAUCGCUUACCUUAAUUGACUCUUUCCUAGCAUUUAGCUCUGAUGUUAAGUCCCUCAUC